AUUUCAUUGAAUUUCUGCUUGUAUUUAAUGGUUUGCCAACACUCCUUGUGUUUGAAGGAUAGUAUCAUAUUGAACUGAUAUCAUAGGUGUGGUUUUGGAAGGGUAAAGCUGAGGGGUUAGUUCAGAAAACAGCUGUAAUUCUGCGCUCAUGUCAGCCGGCCAUGCGAUCUAUUUGUAGCUAUCAUCAGUGCGUAGCGUGUACAUGUACAUUUCUAUACGUGGGCUCGUGUUGUGUGCGCGCGUCUGUACGUGCAAUGUACAUGAACUUGUAAACAAGGGUUGUCAUUUUCACCUAGUCUGUGUGGCCAGUGCGUACGGCUCUAUAAAUGCUUUACUGUUUUUACGCAUCAAACAUUGUGUUUUGGGGCAUUCGUGCAGCAUUUGCAUGUAGUUUACUGAUUGUUUUAUCAAUUGAACUGCAAGAUUAUUCAAGCACUUAUUUCAUGUAUUUGUUUAAUUGUAAUUUCUGUGUGAUUGGAUUGUUUCCUUAGACCGCUAGCUCAGAGACAUUCCUCCAUGAUCACAUACAUGUACAUGUAGUACAGCCAGGGUCCUGUUUUACUGAAGGCUCAAGCCUAGUGUUGGGGGUUUUGUUUUCGUAGUCAACACAAUAAAAACCGAGACAGCAAGUUA